rnacentral:lncRNA from 1 species
AUGACUGUCCUCUGAUCUCACUGCACUAAGUUGUCGCAAUUGCGGGACAAAUGUGGGCGAAUUAACAAUGACCUUUUUAGAACUAACUUGCUUAUGCCAUAUGCAUGGUAGGAUCACCAUUAAGCACCUGACUUGCUACUGCUCAGGAUUCAGAAACUGGGAAGAUUUCUCCUAUACAGUAGAAAAAUACUGUUAGGUCGAGGAGGUAUGCACAUAAAUUAAUUUUCAAAUAGAUAUCAGCGCUUUAAAUGGAAUAUCAUGAAGCUUUCCUUCCCCACUAAAAAAACUGGGUGAAAUUUAUCUAAAGAAUGUUCACUUAUGAUAACCAAGAGAAACUAGUAUCUGUGCAUACAAGUGUUUUAGAAGCAACAGAUGGAGUACUAAUAAAUUAAAGCCCUUAGCUACACCGCUGGUCCUUUGCUUUUUAAAAAAAAACUUGCAAGCAUUUCAUAUGUGAGUGGAGUCCUUCUUUUGUUCAGUCAAUCACAUGCUGCUAGAAAUAAUAGAAGACCUUAGCUAGCUUCAUGCCAUAUCUUAAAAUGCAUCUAAGCUAAACCAAUAUGAGUUGCUCUGCAACGUACAGAUACACAGUAAGAGAUGUAUUCAAAAAUAAGUAACAAAUUUCCUCAUGGAUACAAUGGCCUUAUAAACCAGAACAGUCUACAGUUGUUAAACCAUUCUCAUUGCAAAAUUGCCAAAAACUAAUAAGAAAAAUGCAACUGUAACAUCUAUAUAAAAAGACUGACAAUAAAUUAGAACCAACUUUUCAUAUUUAGUCCAUUUUCGAAAACUACUGAAGAAGAAUAACAAAAAUACUACAGCUGGAAAUCUAUACAAGCGAAAAGGUAAAAUUAGAAAACCAAUUAAUACAUAUUAACUCUUCAUUCCAGAAGUGAACUAUUCUAGACGUUUUACAGAACUAGUGAAGCAUAUUCACAGAAAAUACUACUGUAAACUAUGUAGAAGCAUGACUGUAAAUUACAAACUGCAAACAUACGUAUUUAAUCUUGUUUCCAGAAACUAAAGUAAAGCUAUACAAAACUAAUGUUCCAAAAUUACAAAUAAAAGAUGUUGUAAGUUUAUACAAGCCUAAGAGUAAAACCUCUUAACUGAUCUAUUCUAGAAGUUACAGAACUACUGAAGCAAAUCUAUAGUGAAAAUAAAACUAUAAAAUCUUUAGAAGCAUGACUGUAGAAAUACAAACGGCUAGAUAUACAUGUAUUUUGGCUUGAUUCCAUAAAAAAACUGUACUAUAUACUACAGAACUAGUGUUGCAAAAUUAUGGAAAAAAUAAGUAGCAAGUCAAUACAAGCCUAAGUGUAAAACCACUUAAGAACUGAAAUAAGCUACAAGCUUUACUGAACUAGUUUUGCAAAAAUACAGAAAUACAACAGUAAAUCUAUACAACCAUGAGUGAUGCUAUGUCUUCCACCCGAAAAUCCUUGAUUGAUGCUAUGUCUUCCUACCGAAAUUCCUUGUGCUAGAAUGGAGCAUUGAGACCAACAAUUUAACAAACACUUGCAUUAUGUUGCCCUAUAGCAAGAAAUAAGCAGGAGGGAUAGGAACAGGGAAGGACUGGAUGUGGGGAGAGAAAAAGUAAACGAUCCCUUGUUGUUGGCCGGAAAGAGUAGCAAAGCUCCAGCCUCUAGGUCAAUAUCGUCCUCAUAGAAGUCAUCGACGAAGAGGUCUAUUUCCGCCCGCUUGCAAAGCCUAUGUAUGGUGUGUAUCAACUCUCACCUAUUUAAGAGGAUGAAGAUUUAAUAUACUCCUAUGUUUGCAAGAAUUCUAAAAUGCUUAACUAAAAAUCUGAAACAUUAGUAUGAUUAUAGGAAGUAAUGAAUUUUCGUAGGAUACCCUUGUAUUGACCUUCAAGGAUCCUAUGAAAUAACAAAUUACAAUUCACAAGCUCUAAAGUUCAGAAAUCAAUCACAACCAGUUCAUACAAAAUUAGCUAACUAAGGUUUGCUGCAACAAUACUGAAAGGAAUACCUGUAGUAUUGAAUUUUUGUUUGCAAUCGUAGUAUCAAGCUUGUUCUUCUCAAGUUCUCAUCCUCUCAAAUCCAGAAAUCACAUUAGCAGUAGCCAGCUCUUAGACUGCAUUGCUGGCUACCCCAUUAGCAGAUAGAGACCCUGUUUUUGACGUUCUGCUUGAGCUUGAGCUCCCAGCCGAAGCGCUGCUUGCUUGAUAGAAGUACCAUCCCAAGUCAUGGCUGAU